AUCACUUUUGUACGGCUGUUUUAUUGGAGUAUUUGUUCUCGGGUGGAUUUCGGAUAAUAUUGUAAAGAUCAAGAACAAUAAAAAAACUUAGGAAUAAUAAUAUGAAGAAAACACUUAAACAUCUAAAGUGUAAAUAUAAGUGAAUUUUCAACUAAAUACGACUAUAAUAAGAUGUGAUAAGUAGAAUUAUAUUCACUGUUAUCUCAAUGAGUGCUUUGAUUCCUGGUCGAGUGCUUGUUUAGGUAUUACCGCAUCUAAACAUCAAAUAUGGAUUUAGUCAGAUUUUUGGGCAUUAUCUUUUUUUAUGCUUCGCUUACACACUCCCAAGACUGUUCCCCGUGUUCCUGCUGCAGACAAGGAACGGGAUGCUCCUACAACACUCAACUCGGGAUAUUCAACUACUGCUGGGAAGGAUGUAUUGAUGGAUUCAUGAGUCCUCAGUGUCAGAAACCCUGUGUUAACCAACGUUGUCAGACAUGUUCAACAGAGACUAUAUGUGAUGCAUGUCAUGAUGGGUAUUACGGCAACCAAUGUUGUAAUAAUCAACGUUGUCAGACAUGUUCAACAGAGACUACAUGCGAUACAUGUUAUGAUGGAUAUUACGGUGACCAAUGUCAAAGCCCAUGUCCCAGUACGUGUACCACGUGCACCUCUAGUAUAUUAUGUUCAUCCUGCAUGGACGGGUUUUACGGCGACCAAUGUCAAAGCUCAUGUCCCAGUACGUGUACCACGUGCACCUCUAGUACAUUAUGUACAUCCUGUAGGGGCGGGUAUUACGGCGACCAGUGUAAAAGCUCAUGUCCCAUUACGUGUACCACGUGCACCUCUAGUACAGUAUGGACAUCCUGUAAGGACGGAUAUCACAGGGGGUCGGGGACAACGUGUUUAUAUUUGUGUAAGACAGAGUGUUUAUCUUGCACCAAUGGAACAUCCUGUACUGCAUGUAAGGUUAAGAGUGGUGUUGGAUAUUAUGGAAGUGAUUGCUCACUGAUAUGCAGUAACAAGUGCAAAGACUAUCUAUGCGAUAUAUAUGGAAACUGUCUGCAAUGUAAUGACCCCAAUUUCAUAGGUGAUAACUGGGAUAUAUGUAUUGAUGGCAAAUACGGAAAUCAGUGUAAGAAUGCUUGUCCUUUAAAUUGUAUAUUGUGCGAAUCUGACACACACUGUACUUCAUGUACAAAAGGAUUUAAGGGUAUCGCGUGCACAACGAUGAUGCAAUGCCCAGAUAAUUGUUUAAAUAAUACAGUUUGUUUAAGCUCUGGUAAAUGUAAAUCAUGUUUAGACGGAAUUUUUGGCGACUAUUGCAAUAUGACCUGUUCACAAAAUUGCAGGUAUGGAUACUGCAAUCAAGACGGGUCUUGUAAAGCAGGUUGUAAGGACGGAUUUACUGGAUCAAUGUGUGAAAUAAAGAUUUGCCCGCCGAACUGCAUUUGUGAUAGCUGGAAAAACUGUAUAGGGUGUAAAAGUAAUUAUUUUGGGCCUUCAUGUUCUCGUACCUGUAGUUGAUGUAAAGAUAAUAUAUGCCCUGUAGAAACUUUAAAUGCAGUGAAAUGUAGUGAAUGUGAAGGCGGGAUGUAUGGUAAUCUCUGUAAUGAUAGAUGUCCAGACAAUUGUUUAAAUAAUAAGUGCGACCAAGACAGUGGGGCAUGUACUUGCGAAAACGGAUACAAAUUUCAAGAUAGUACAUGUGUCCGAAGCAUAUGCCAAGCUAACUGCUCCACAUGUAUUUCGUUUGAUAAUUGUAUUUCUUGUGUUGAUAAGUAUUAUUAUGGAGAUACCUGUAAGCACGAAUGUAGCAACUGCAGGUCAGGAACAACCUGUAGGAAGAAUGAUGGUUACUGUCAGACUGAAUGUGCAGACGGGUUUAGUGGUUAUUAUUGCGAUACUCCUUGCAAUGAUGGAUGUGCUACAUGUACACGUAGCCAAACUAAUGAAUGUUUGUCAUGUCAAAAUGGAAGACAUGGCUAUGAUGGAUCAUACUACACAUGUAGGAACACCUGCAAUAAUGCAUGUGCGAACAAUUCUUGUGACGCUUUGAACGGUCAAUGUGACUAAGGCUGUGUAGAUGGAUAUUCGGGACCGUUUUGUAACAUGUAGUGUCCAUCAAAUUGCAAAUCGUGUCACCAAGUCAACGGCGAAUGUGAUUUAUGUGCGUAUGUUUUUUGGGGCGAGUACUGUUUGAACAAUUGCAGCGAAAAUUGUACACAUAUAAAUGAGUCGUUGUCAAGUUGUGACAUAAGAUCUGGUGAAUGCAAAUAUGGAUGCUUACAUGGGACUCACGGCUCACUCUGCAGUAUUGAAUGUGACCAAAAGUGUAUCGUUUCUGAAAAUGGGGUUCGUGAGUGCAGACAGAUGGACGGACAGUGUACCCUAGGAUGUGAGGCAGGGUAUAAGCUGACAACUAAAGGAUACAUAGAAGGAUGUCCCGGAGAUGAUUUAGAGUCCAUACAACAAAUUGAUUCGAUCACACAGCCUUUCAGCGACUGCCUACGGAAUAUUCGUAUUAACAAAACACUUAUUAACAAUUCUGCAUUUAAAAUGCAUGAACAUAACCUUAAACAAUGUGACUGACACGACGUUAAAAUCAGAUGAUGUCUAAAAUGUAAUUCAAGUCCACGUGCAUUUGAUUGUCACCAUUCAUUGGAUAAACGCUCAUCCAUAUUUAAAUGAAGGCAGUUUAAUAUCGGAUUCUGUUUUUUUGUUUAUCUGAAUAGAGUUGGAAACACAGGACACUAAUAUGAGCAACAUUUUUCUACAUGCUCCAUAUUUUCAUAGUUUUUACAAUUGCCAUCAUUCGUAGCCCCUAUCUUAUUCUUCUAUGACUCGAGUUAAAGCGGUCAUUUUUAAAGGAGACUUUCAAAAUAAUAGAUUUAAAUUCGUUCUGGAAAUCCGUUAUUUGUGAAACAUGAACUGGAGCUUUAGCUUUGGUCAGAUUCAGUUCAAAAAGCGAAACGGAGAUGAGUGAAACAAUUGGUCGUUUCACAAACAUCAGUUUAAAACCUUAUUUUAUUUUAAAACAUAUUUCUUGAUUCUUGUACUGCAAUGGAAUAGUAGAUGUCGUUCUUGUUUUUCAUUUGAUUUUUGUCCUAUAUAAGGUAUAAGUCUGCAUGACUCGUUCUUGAUGAUCAGAUUGCAUUUGCUGAGAGCCUUUUUUUAUUCCAUUCUAAUGUUAAUAAAUAAGGUGUUGCUUAUACACAUUUUUAUACUUGGAAAGGUCAGUUUAUAUCCCCACACCAAUGUCAACUUACGCGCUUAAUUGUGAGGUUUGCGAUACUCAAAUAUGUGUAUUUUGGAUGCGUAGUAAUCCAUUGUAGUGUAUCAACAGCAACA